rfam:Picoides pubescens contig87845, whole genome shotgun sequence.
GCCCUUGGCUGCUCAGUAGUCAGUGUAGGAUCUGUCUGACAGUCUCACCAACAGCUACAUCUGAUUACUGGGUCACCUAGGGUGGCC